GAUGAACGCUAGCGGCAGGCCUAAUACAUGCAAGUCGAGGGGCAGCACGAAUAGCAAUAUUUGGUGGCGACCGGCGCACGGGUGCGUAACACGUAUACAAUCUGCCUUUUACAGGGGAAUAGCCCGGAGAAAUUCGGAUUAAUGCCCCAUAACACAAAAUAUAGCAUUAUAUUUUGUUGAAAGCUCCGGCGGUAAAAGAUGAGUAUGCGGGUGAUUAGCUAGUUGGUGAGGUAACGGCUCACCAAGGCGACGAUCACUAGGGGAUCUGAGAGGACUACCCCCCACACUGGUACUGAGACACGGCCCAGGCUCCUACGGGAGGCAGCAGUAAGGAAUAUUGGUCAAUGGAGGCAACUCUGAACCAGCCAUGCCGCGUGCAGGAAGACGGUCCUAUGGAUUGUAAACUGCUUUUAUACCAGAGAAAAUCAUUGUACGUGUACGAUGUUGAUAGUAUGGUAAGAAUAAGGAUCGGCUAACUUCGUGCCAGCCGCCGCGGUAACAC
rnacentral:rRNA from 1 species